AUGGUGACCCAAGAUAAAAGACGAGGACUCUCCACCAUUGCCGCCUUGACGGUAUGGUCCAUUUGGCGCCGCCGCAAUGCGAUCAUCUUCGACAAGAUCACACCCUCCUCCGCCUGGCUCCUGGCUGCGAUCCAAGACGACGCCCGCUUCUGGGUCUGUGCAGAAGCCAAAGGAUUGAGUAGUAUCAUCCCUGUAACAUAG
rnacentral:rRNA from 1 species